GACGAACGCUGGCGGCGUGCUUAACACAUGCAAGUCGAACGGAAAGGCCCUGCUUUUGUGGGGUGCUCGAGUGGCGAACGGGUGAGUAACACGUGAGUAACCUGCCCUUGACUUUGGGAUAACUUCAGGAAACUGGGGCUAAUACCGGAUAGGAGCUCCUGCUGCAUGGUGGGGGUUGGAAAGUGGCGGCGGUUGGGGAUGGACUCGCGGCUUAUCAGCUUGUUGGUGGGGUAGUGGCUUACCAGGGCUUUGACGGGUAGCCGGCCUGAGCGGGUGACGGUGAUCAUUGGGCAUGUGAUACGGCCAAGAGUCCUACCGGAGGCAGCAGUGGGGAUUAUUGCAAAAUGGGCGGAAGGUUGAUGCAGCAACGCCGCGUGCGGGAUGACGGCCUUCGGGUUGUAAACCGCUUUCGCCUGUGACGAAGCGUGAGUGACGGUAAUGGGUAAAGAAGCACCGGCUAACUACGUGCCAGCCGCCGCAGUAA
rnacentral:rRNA from 1 species